UACAAAAGAAUAAUUUCUGCCGCCCCCACUUUCGUUAGAGAGCAUGAAGCAUCGAUCGGCUGAUGUCCCCUUGUGAUAUAAAAGUGGCUUCCCCUGACUGCUCCGAUUUCACCGCUUUGAUUUGGACAUCUUAAAAGACCAGCAGGAUGCCCCGUCCAGUGACAACGUGCCCCAGCCAAAGACAGAUCGUGUGCGUCCUCCUUGCCCUGACACUAACCCUGUCCGUCACGACCGCCGGACCAAACAACAAACGCCAGUACUUCAUCGCCUGCUCGGGCUGGGGGCCCAGCUGUUCUAUGCACAUGUCUGGGGGGCUGGACACUGUACCGGUGGUCAGCAUUAGCAGGCCGGCACCCAGGAGGGAGCCGCCGCCGCCGCCAAUGUACUUGUCGAGGAACAGGGGAGGGUCACAUAGUGGCAUUCCAAGUUUAGUAACUUCAGGAGGCUGGGAGCCAGGUACAAUGGGCAAAAGAAAGAGUAAAAGCGAGUUUAGCAGGCACCUACUGGACAUACUGACCUCAGCUGACAGGCAACUUCAUCAUGUUAAUUAAGGCUGUCACUAUUUACAAAAAGGGAAAUACUUUGUGGUUCAAGUCACAACGACGCGUCGAUGACGUCAUCACCUACGUCACUAACACAUACAAGAAACAGUGGAUAUUUUUUUUUCUUCUUAAAUUUCGGAACGCAACUUUCUACAUAACAUCAACCUGUCAUCAUGCAUGUAGGAUACGCCUUUGCCGCGGACUCUAAAUGACUUCAAUCUCCUUGGAGCUGGUGUUUUCAAGAAAAUUUUUUUAAAAAAAGGUCUCUACUUCUGAAACAAAAAUUUUCUUAAGAAUGCAAGUCGACAUGAUGGAAGAACAGAGGGAACAGAGGGAACCAAAAGAACACCUACAAUCAUGUCAGGAACAUUAUCAUCUAUAAUACGAGAACAUUAUAUUCUAUGACACUGAAUGAAAAACGAAUGGGUGACAUUUCCUACACAUUAAUUAUCAAACUUUGAAUUUAUUUGCAAAGGAAAAACUCUAUCCUUUUUUUUUUUUUCAAA